CCUAAGCCGACCGCACACAUCAGGUGAGCUCUUUACCACUUGGUCACUUCCUGCCCCAUGACAAUGAUAAAAACCAAAUCAUACAUUACAGGGUAAACAGACUAACAGAAGAUGUCUAUUUCAUGGACUAAGAUCCGAUGGAUUGCCAAUAAUCUUCACAGUCAUCACUUCCAUGUUAAUAUCAUGUCUCUCGCAGUGUUACAAGUUCGUGACGUGUAAUGAAACAAAGAGGAUUUUCACUGAAAACGACAUAUUGCUUUCCAGACGCUUGUCUUCAAAUUGAAAUUAAUUACAUUGAUCAUGUUUUGGGCGAGACGUAGCCCAGUGGUACAGCGCAGGCUCGAUGCGCGGUCGGUGUGGGAUCGAUC
rnacentral:lncRNA from 1 species